UAAAUAUAUACACCGAGUGUACAAAACAUUAAGAACACCUUACUAAUAUUGAGUUGCACCUCCUUUUCCCCUCAGAACAGUCUCAAUUAAUUGGGGUUUGGACUCUACAAAGUGUCAAUUUGUCUGGGCAUUGGACUCUACAAGGUGUUGAAAGUGUUCCACAGGGAUGCUGGCCCAUGUUGACUCUACAAGGUGUUGAAAGCGUUCCACAGGGAUGCUGGCCCAUGUUGACUCUACAAGGUGUUGAAAGUGUUCCACAGGGAUGCUGGCCCAUGUUGACUCUACAAGGUGUUGAAAGUGUUCCACAGGGAUGCUGGCCCAUGUUGACUCUACAAGGUGUUGAAAGUGUUCCACAGGGAUGCUGGCCCAUGUUGACUCUACAAGGUGUUGAAAGCGUUCCACAGGGAUGCUGGCCCAUGUUGACUCUACAAGGUGUUGAAAGUGUUCCACAGGGAUGCUGGCCCAUGUUGACUCUACAAGGUGUUGAAAGUGUUCCACGGGGAUGCUGGCCCAUGUUGACUCUACAAGGUGUUGAAAGUGUUCCACAGGGAUGCUGGCCCAUGUUGACUCUACAAGGUGUUGAAAGUGUUCCACAGGGAUGCUGGCCCAUGUUGACUCUACAAGGUGUUGAAAGCGUUCCACAGGGAUGCUGGCCCAUGUUGACUCUACAAGGUGUUGAAAGGGUUCCACAGGGAUGCUGGCCCAUGUUGACUCCAAUACUUCCCACAGUUGUGUCCAGUUGGCUGGAUGUCCAUUGGGUGGUGGACCAUUCAUGAUACACACAGGGAACUGUUGAGUGUGAAAAACCCAGCA